UACGAAGGGGGCUAGCGUUGCUCGGAAUCACUGGGCGUAAAGGGUGCGUAGGCGGGUCUUUAAGUCGGUGGUGAAAUCCUGGAGCUCAACUCCAGAACUGCCUUCGAUACUGAGAGUCUCGAGUCCGGGAGAGGUGAGUGGAACUGCGAGUGUAGAGGUGAAAUUCGUAGAUAUUCGCAAGAACACCAGUGGCGAAGGCGGCUCACUGGCCCGGUACUGACGCUGAGGUGCGAGAGCGUGGGGAGCGGAACCGG
rnacentral:rRNA from 1 species